GAUGAACGCUAGCUACAGGCUUAACACAUGCAAGUCGAGGGGUAACGAGAGGGAAGCUUGCUUUCCUUGUCGACGACCGGCGCACGGGUGGGUAACGCGUAUCCAACCUGCCCCCAACUAGGGAAUAACCUUGCGAAAGUAAGACUAAUACCCUAUAAUUUCCUCAGAUGUCAUCUGACGAGGAAUAAAGAUUUAUCGGUUGUGGAUGGGGAUGCGUCUGAUUAGCUUGUUGGCGGGGUAACGGCCCACCAAGGCAACGAUCAGUAGGGGUUCUGAGAGGAAGGUCCCCCACAUGGGAACUGAGACACGGUCCAAACUCCUACGGGAGGCAGCAGUGAGGAAUAUUGGUCAAUGGGCGGAAGCCUGAACCAGCCAAGUAGCGUGCAGGAUGACGGCCCUAUGGGUUGUAAACUGCUUUUAUACAGGAAUAAAGUUAGCCACGUGUGGUUAUUUGUAGGUACUGUAUGAAUAAGGACCGGCUAAUUCCGUGCCAGCAGCCGCCGCCG
rnacentral:rRNA from 1 species